GUGUCGCCUUCUGUAAAUCUACUAUUGUUUGGGAGAAUUCAAAAACAGGAGAAAGCAAGCCAUCAUAAAGGAACUGAGGAAUAUUUCCCCACUGUGUUCUGAGGGUCUCAAUAACUCUGAUAUUUAAAAUGAGUUGGUUCUGAAAAAUAGACUACUGCCAUUUAGUUGAUGAGUAAAACAGGAGCCAAGAAGUGGGCAAAUUGCAAACUGACGUACACAAGCCAAGCACAUUCUCUGAAAUGACAACGUUCAAGACGCAGCUAAAGUCACCACUCUGGCGGAUCCACUGAACCCAAGAACAUGGACCCUUCCCCUCUCCACUCCAGAGUUUCAAAGGGAAGUAAAAACUGCAAGCAAAGACUCCGCAUUGCUCACAACAUCUCCAGCUCUGUGCCUGAUUAUAUUAUGUGCUCCUUAAAUACUGGCUGAAUAAACAAAUGAACCUCCUACCCUCAA